rnacentral:rRNA from 1 species
UGGGGAAUUUUGGACAAUGGGCGAAAGCCUGAUCCAGCAAUGCCGCGUGUGUGAAGAAGGCCUUCGGGUUGUAAAGCACUUUUGUCCGGAAAGAAAUCCUUGGCUCUAAUACAGUCGGGGGAUGACGGUACCGGAAGAAUAAGCACCGGCUAACUACGUGCCAGCAGCCGCGGUAAUACGUAGGGUGCAAGCGUUAAUCGGAAUUACUGGGCGUAAAGCGUGCGCAGGCGGUUUGCUAAGACCGAUGUGAAAUCCCCGGGCUCAACCUGGGAACUGCAUUGGUGACUGGCAGGCUAGAGUAUGGCAGAGGGGGGUAGAAUUCCACGUGUAGCAGUGAAAUGCGUAGAGAUGUGGAGGAAUACCGAUGGCGAAGGCAGCCCCCUGGGCCAAUACUGACGCUCAUGCACGAAAGCGUGGGGAGCAAACAGGAUUAGAUACCCUGGUAGUCCACGCCCUAAACGAUGUCAACUAGUUGUUGGGGAUUCAUUUCCUUAGUAACGUAGCUAACGCGUGAAGUUGACCGCCUGGGGAGUACGUCGCAAGAUUAAAACUCAAAGGAAUUG